CUUGUCAUCAGGCUGAAAGCCAUGACAUUUUUCCACUAGCCAGAUAUUAUGAAUAUCAAAUUGGGUGAUGCUGGUGCCAAAUAUGUUGUGGAGUCCAUUGGUAUCUUCACCACCACAUAAAAAGUCAGAGCACCCUUGAAGAAUGGAGCCAAAGGGUCAUUAUCUCUGGCUCUUCUGCUAUUAUACCAAUAUCUGUAAUUGGUGUGAACUAUGAGAAUUAUGACAACUCUCUUAAGACUGUCAGCAAUGCUUCCUGAACCACCAAUAGCUAGGCCCCCUGGCCAAUCUCAUCCAUGAUAACUUUGGCAUUGUGGAAGGACAUAUGAUAAUAGUCACUCCCAUUACUGAUACCCAGAAUACUGUGGAAAGCCCCUCUUGGAAGCUGUAAGGCCUUCUCAGAAUAUCAUCUCUGUAUCCAUAGAUGCUUCCAAGGCUGCGGAAAGAUCAUCUCAGAGUUGAAGGGGAAGCUAACCAGCAUAGACUUCUGUGUUCCUACCCACAAUGUGUUCAUCAUGAGUCUGACAUACUGCCUGUAGAAAGCUUACAAGUAUGACAUGAAGGGAGUGGUGAAGCAACACAUGAGUGCCCACUAAAGGACAUUUUGAACUACACCAGGCCCAGGAUGUUUCCUGAAACUUUAACAGUGACACCUACUCUUCCAUCUUUGAUGUCUGAGCUGGCACUGCUCUGAAUGACAAUUUGUAAAGCCCAUUCCUGAAAUGAGCAUGAUACCUCAUGGGCUACAUAACUUCCAAAGUGUAGUAUGCCUUGGACUAUGAAUUCCAGCAAGAACUGA
rnacentral:lncRNA from 1 species